rnacentral:lncRNA from 1 species
UUUCAUUAGGUUCCAUCUUAAAUAGCUCAUAUUUGUGAACUAGAAUGUUCACUUUAGAUUCUUUGACUUGAUUUGUACCCUCGUGGGUAACUUCAAGUCUAUCCCAUAUUUCCUUGGCGGAAGUACAGGUUGAAACUCUAGAGAACUCAUUCACAUCUAGAGCACAAAAUAAUGAGUUCAUGGCUCUAGAGUUGAGUUGAACCAUCCUAUUAUCAUUCUCAUUUUAAUCCUCCUCAGGUUUGGAAACUUGAAUGCCAUUCACCAUGUGUGAUGGUUCUUGUGGUCCCUUAACUAUAACCCUCCACAAGGCAUAAUCUUGUGCUUGAAUAAAGAUCCUCAUCCUAGUCUUCCAAUAGGUAUAAUUUGUCCCAUUGAAGAGUGGAGGUCUAUUAGUUGUCUGCCCCUCAGCAGGAACAUUGUUGAAGGGUGUUGCCAUCUAGAUCUUUAGCUAAGACGGUUAGGUCUUCAAGAAAUAUACAGAGCACCCGCUCUGAUACCACUUGUUGCCCAGAGAUGGUCACCCAAGAGGGGGGUGAAUUGGG